rnacentral:rRNA from 1 species
AUGACUGGGGUGAAGUCGUAACAAGGUAGGCGAUGGAACUCCAUGUGUAGCGGUGGAAUGCGUAGAUAUAUGGAAGAACACCAGUGGCGAAGGCGGCUUACUGGACUGCAACUGACGUUGAGGCUCGAAAGUGUGGGUAGCAAACAGGAUUAGAUACCCUGGUAGUCCACACCGUAAACGAUGAACACUAGGUGUUAGGAGGUUUCCGCCUCUUAGUGCCGAAGCUAACGCAUUAAGUGUUCCGCCUGGGGAGUACGACCGCAAGGUUGAAACUCAAAGGAAUUGACGGGGACCCGCACAAGCGGUGGAGCAUGUGGUUUAAUUCGAAGCAACGCGAAGAACCUUACCAGGUCUUGACAUCCUUUGAAGCUUUUAGAGAUAGAAGUGUUCUCUUCGGAGACAAAGUGACAGGUGGUGCAUGGUCGUCGUCAGCUCGUGUCGUGAGAUGUUGGGUUAAGUCCCGCAACGAGCGCAACCCUUAUUGUUAGUUGCCAGCAUUCAGAUGGGCACUCUAGCGAGACUGCCGGUGACAAACCGGAGGAAGGCGGGGACGACGUCAGAUCAUCAUGCCCCUUAUGACCUGGGCUACACACGUGCUACAAUGGCGUAUACAACGAGUUGCCAACCCGCGAGGGUGAGCUAAUCUCUUAAAGUACGUCUCAGUUCGGAUUGUAGUCUGCAACUCGACUACAUGAAGUCGGAAUCGCUAGUAAUCGCGGAUCAGCACGCCGCGGUGAAUACGUUCCCCGGGUCUUGUACACACCGCCCGUCACACCAUGGGAGUUUGUAAUGCCCAAAGCCGGUGGCCUAACCUUUUAGAAGAGCCGUCUAAGGCAGGACAGAUGACUGGGGU